rnacentral:rRNA from 1 species
UACGAAGAGGGCUAGCGUUGCUCGGAAUUACUGGGCGUAAAGGGCGCGUAGGCGGCACUGUUAGUCAGGCGUGAAAUUCCUGGGCUCAACCUGGGGACUGCGCUUGAUACGGCAGAGCUUGAGGAUGGAAGAGGGUCGCGGAAUUCCCAGUGUAGAGGUGAAAUUCGUAGAUAUUGGGAAGAACACCGGUGGCGAAGGCGGCGACCUGGUCCAUUACUGACGCUGAGGCGCGACAGCGUGGGGAGCAAACAGG